UUGAACAACCCAUUGUUAAUUGCUGUGUAUGGCUUGAGCUAUCUGCUUGAGCGGUUUGUAUAAAUCUUCAGCUAAUGAUGUGAUAAGAAGAAAAACAACACCAGACAUCUUCCACUAAUCACUUAAUACCAAACCCAAGUGUGUUUAGCAAUGAAAAAUAUAUGAAAAUGAAAAAGCAGUUUAUUUAUAGAAGAGUUGCGGUAAUCUUUGAUUCGGGCCUGAUUUAUGAUUUAUCCAAAAACAUUAAAACAAAAA